UUUCCGUAGGUGAACCUGCGGAAGGAUCAUUGUCGAAUCCUGCAAAAGCAGACCGUGAACACGUCAAACCAUAUUGGGACUGUGGCCAAGGGAGACCUUUUGCCAUGGCCCAUUCCUCGCACGGUGCGCUGCGGGCUAACGAUCCCCGGUGCGGUAAGCGCCAAGGAAAACUCACAGAAGCGUCGGCCUCCCGUCGCCCCGUUCGCGGUGCGCGGUGGGCGGCGUCUCUCAAUGUCAUAACGACUCUCGGCAACGGAUAUCUCGGCUCUCGCAUCGAUGAAGAACGUAGCGAAAUGCGAUACUUGGUGUGAAUUGCAGAAUCCCGUGAACCAUCGAGUCUUUGAACGCAAGUUGCGCCCGAAGCCAUUCGGCCGAGGGCACGUCUGCCUGGGCGUCACGCAUCGCGUCGCCUCCCACACCGCACCCCGUAAAUUGGCCCCCCGUGCGAGUCUCCGCGCGGCCGGCCUAAAUGCGAACCCGUGGCGACUCAUGUCACGACCAGUGGUGGUUGAACACUCAACUCGCGUGCUGUCGUCGUGCGAGUUGUUUGUCGGGCUUCGUCGCAGACCCUGUGGCGCGAUCUUAUCGCGCCUUCGACCGCGACCCCAGGUCAGGCGGGAUUACCCGCUGAGUUUAA
rnacentral:rRNA from 1 species